rnacentral:rRNA from 1 species
CAGCCGCCACGGUAAUACAGAGGGUGCGAGCGUUAAUCGGAUUUACUGGGCGUAAAGCGUGCGUAGGCGGCUUUUUAAGUCGGAUGUGAAAUCCCUGAGCUUAACUUAGGAAUUGCAUUCGAUACUGGGAAGCUAGAGUAUGGGAGAGGAUGGUAGAAUUCCAGGUGUAGCGGUGAAAUGCGUAGAGAUCUGGAGGAAUACCGAUGGCGAAGGCAGCCAUCUGGCCUAAUACUGACGCUGAGGUACGAAAGCAUGGGAAGCAAACAGGAUUAGAUACCCCCGUAGUCCCUGUCUCUUAUAC